rnacentral:rRNA from 1 species
AGAACGCUGGCGGCGUGCCUAACACAUGCAAGUCGAGCGGAGAUAAGCGGAUGGUAACUGAAGUUUGUCUUAGCGGCGGACGGGUGAGUAACACGUGGGCAACCUGCCUUGGAGUGGGGGAUAACACCGGGAAAUCGGUGCUAAUACCGCAUAACAUACACAUACUGCAUGGUGAGUGUAUCAAAGGAGCAAUCCGCUUUAAGAUGGGCCCGCGGCUGAUUAGCUAGUUGGUAAGGUAACGGCUUACCAAGGCGACGAUCAGUAGCCGACCUGAGAGGGUGACCGGCCACACUGGAACUGAGACACGGUCCAGACUCCUACGGGAGGCAGCGGUGGGGAAUAUUGCGCAAUGGGGGAAACCCUGACGCAGCAACGCCGCGUGGAGGAAGAAGGUCUUCGGAUUGUAAACUCCUGUCUUCUGGGACGAAGUAUGACGGUACCAGAGGAGGAAGCCACGGCUAACUACGUG